rnacentral:rRNA from 2 species
CCGCGUGAGUGAUGAAGGUUUUCGGAUCGUAAAACUCUGUUAUCAGGGAAGAACAAGUAUCGGAGUAACUGCCGGUACCUUGACGGUACCUGACCAGAAAGCCACGGCUAACUACGUGCCAGCAGCCGCGGUAAUACGUAGGUGGCAAGCGUUGUCCGGAAUUAUUGGGCGUAAAGCGCGCGCAGGCGGUCUCUUAAGUCUGAUGUGAAAGCCCACGGCUCAACCGUGGAAGGUCAUUGGAAACUGGGGGACUUGAGUGCAGAAGAGAAGAGCGGAAUUCCACGUGUAGCGGUGAAAUGCGUAGAGAUGUGGAGGAACACCAGUGGCGAAGGCGGCUCUUUGGUCUGUAACUGACGCUGAGGCGCGAAAGCGUGGGGAGCAAACAGGAUUAGAUACCCUGGUAGUCCACGCCGUAAACGAUGAGUGCUAAGUGUUAGAGGGUUUCCGCCCUUUAGUGCUGCAGUUAACGCAUUAAGCACUCCGCCUGGGGAGUACGGCCGCAAGGCUGAAACUCAAAGGAAUUGACGGGGGCCCGCACAAGCGGUGGAGCAUGUGGUUUAAUUCGAAGCAACGCGAAGAACCUUACCAGGUCUUGACAUCCUCUGACCACCCUAGAGAUAGGGAUUUCCCCUUCGGGGGACAGAGUGACAGGUGGUGCAUGGUUGUCGUCAGCUCGUGUCGUGAGAUGUUGGGUUAAGUCCCGCAACGAGCGCAACCCUUAACCUUAGUUGCCAGCAUUCAGUUGGGCACUCUAAGGUGACUGCCGGUGACAAACCGGAGGAAGGUGGGGAUGACGUCAAAUCAUCAUGCCCCUUAUGACCUGGGCUACACACGUGCUACAAUGGAUGGUACAAAGGGUUGCGAGACCGCGAGGUUUAGCUAAUCCCAUAAAACCAUUCUCAGUUCGGAUUGCAGGCUGCAACUCGCCUGCAUGAAGCCGGAAUCGCUAGUAAUCGUGGAUCAGCAUGCCACGGUGAAUACGUUCCCGGGCCUUGUACACACCGCCCGUCACACCACGAGAGUUUGUAACACCCGAAGUCGGUGGGGUAACCCUUACGGGAGCCAGCCGCCGAAGG